CUCUGAUACCCACAAUUAAAUAAACCUUGGGUUGCAAAUAUUCAUGGGAAAUAUUUUCAUUUGUAACUGAACAUUUACAAACUUACUCCCACCAUUAUUGCUUUAACACUAUUAACAGGACAAUAUAACAGCUUCUCACCAGACAUUCACAUUGUAUUAGGUGGUCUAAGUCAUCCAGAGAUGAAUUAAAUCCAUGGGGAGAAGAGAGUUGAGCACCCAUGAUUUUGCUAUUUGUCAGCAGUCCUAUAAUCAAGUCCUAUAAUCAAGAUACACUGAGUAAUGACAACACAUGCAGCCUUAUACUGUAUCUUUAAUGACAGCAACCAGGUGUCUACCCAGAAUUUGCUCUCUGUUCUUUUCCCACCCCUGGCACUGAGAUCUGGACACAAGACAGGACAUACUCAGUAGGUAUUCAUAAGUCAGAAAGUACUCAAUGGGUCCUCAUAAGUCGGAGCACAUGCAGUGGGUCCUCACAAGUCAGAGCAUACUUAGUGGGUCCUCAUAAGUCAAAACAUACU